CUCCCGGCUGACUUUUAGUCACGACCGCGGGGCGUGUGGGGAGAUGCAGUACACGCUUCUGUCCUCCAGCCCCGCCUGCAGUAGUUCACAUCAACUCACCGUGACUAUACACCCGUGUUGGGUGCUUUAAAUCGAAGGUUGCUGUUUGCACACCAGCACUUAAAAGGACAAUGUAACCGUAAGAGAACAAGACCCAAACAAGGACUGAGUCCCACUCUGCAGAUCUUCAAGAGCAUUCAAUAUGGAAGUGUUAGAUGCUGCUGAUAUUCAGCAGGGGAAUGGACUUGUGUUUGGAAAUGAUGAUGUUGUCUCAGCAUGAAAUUUAAACUGGACCUGGAGGAAUAUGAAGGCAUGGCGAUAGUGAAAACAGAGAACUUCAGACAUUUUGAAAACCGAGGAAGUGGAGGUAAACUUGUGCUACAGUGACUUGUUCUUCGUAGAA